rnacentral:rRNA from 1 species
GACGGAGGGUGCGAGCGUUGUUCGGAAUUACUGGGCGUAAAGCGCGCGCAGGUGGGUGCGUAAGUCGGAGGUGAAAGCGCAGGGCUCAACCUGGGAAUUGCAUUCGAGACUGAAUAGCUAGAGUGCGGGAGAGGAGAGUGGAAUUCCUGGUGUAGCGGUGAAAUGCGCAGAUAUCAGGAAGAACACCCGUGGCGAAGGCGGCUCUCUGGAACGCAACUGACGCUGAGACGCGAAAGCGUGGGGAGCAAACAGG